UACAGAGGGGGCGAGCGUUGUUCGGAAUUACUGGGCGUAAAGGGCGCGUAGGCGGCCUGCUAAGUCGAACGUGAAAUCCCUGGGCUCAACUUGGGAACUGCGUCUGAUACUGGAUGGCUUGAAUUCGGGAGAGGGAUGCAGAAUUCCAGGUGUAGCGGUGAAAUGCGUAGAUAUCUGGAGGAAUACCGGUGGCGAAGGCGGCAUCCUGGACCGAUAUUGACGCUGAGGAGCGAAAGCCAGGGGAGCAAACGGG
rnacentral:rRNA from 1 species